rnacentral:rRNA from 1 species
ACUCCUGCGGGAGGCAGCAGUGGGGAAUUUUGGACAAUGGGCGAAAGCCUGAUCCAGCAAUGCCGCGUGAGUGAAGAAGGCCUUCGGGUUGUAAAGCUCUUUUGUCAGGGAAGAAACGGUGAAAGCUAAUAUCUUUUGCUAAUGACGGUACCUGAAGAAUAAGCACCGGCUAACUACGUGCCAGCAGCCGCGGUAAUACGUAGGGUGCAAGCGUUAAUCGGAAUUACUGGGCGUAAAGCGUGCGCAGGCGGUUUUGUAAGUCUGAUGUGAAAUCCCCGGGCUCAACCUGGGAAUUGCAUUGGAGACUGCAAGGCUAGAAUCUGGCAGAGGGGGGUAGAAUUCCACGUGUAGCAGUGAAAUGCGUAGAUAUGUGGAGGAACACCGAUGGCGAAGGCAGCCCCCUGGGUCAAGAUUGACGCUCAUGCACGAAAGCGUGGGGAGCAAACAGGAUUAGAUACCCCAGUAGUCCCAUGAU